UACGUAGGCAGCGAGCGUUGUUCGGAAUUACUGGGCGUAAAGAGUGUGUAGGCGGUGCUCCCAGUCUGUUGUGAAAUCUCCCGGCUUAACUGGGAGGGUGCAGCGGAAACUAGAGUGCUAGAGGGUGGGAGAGGUAAGCGGAAUUCCUGGUGUAGCGGUGAAAUGCGUAGAUAUCGGGAGGAACACCUGUGGCGAAAGCGGCGCACUGGACCAUAACUGACGCUGAUGCGCGAAAGCUAGGGGAGCAAACAGG
rnacentral:rRNA from 1 species